GAAAACGAUUGUGUUAUUACAUGUGGAUGGAAGGAUUUGAUGGGAUAAGAAAGGUUCAGGGCAUGCGCAGCUGUUAAUCAACCAUCAAGAUACAGACGAGGGUAUUUUUCGCUGACGUAAGCUUUAAGUGAAGGCAAUUGAUGGAAAAUUAAGGAAAUUGAUGCCGAAGAAACGAAGAAAUUACAGAUGAAUCAAUAGAACACUUCUUCAAUAUUGUGUUAUAAUUUCAAUUGAAAAUUGUAAAUGAAAAUUGUUAUUGGAUUCAAAAUUUUAUAAUCAAAGUUUCAAAGGUGUUUUGAUUAUUUCUAAAAUUCUAGUCAAAAUAAAGUGCUAAAUUUUUGAUCAUGAACCAUCAA